UACGUAGGGUGCGAGCGUUAAUCGGAAUUACUGGGCGUAAAGCGUGCGCAGGCGGUUCGUUGUGUCUGAUGUGAAAGCCCCGGGCUUAACCUGGGAAUGGCAUUGGAAACUGGCGAGCUGGAGUGUGGCAGAGGGGGGUGGAAUUCCGCGUGUAGCAGUGAAAUGCGUAGAUAUGCGGAGGAACAUCGAUGGCGAAGGCAAUCCCCUGGGCCUGCACUGACGCUCAUGCACGAAAGCGUGGGGAGCAAACAGG
rnacentral:rRNA from 1 species